GACGAACGCUGGCGGCGUGCCUAACACAUGCAAGUCGAGCGAAGUGUUUAGGACGGAUUCCUUCGGGAUGAAGACCUAAACAUCUUAGCGGCGGAUGGGUGAGUAACGCGUGAGAAACCUGCCUUUCACAAGGGAAUAGCCUCGGGAAACUGGGAUUAAUACCCUACGAUACAACUUUUUCGCAUGAGAGGGUUGUUAAAGCGUAAAGCGGUGAAAGAUGGUCUCGCGUCCCAUUAGUUAGUUGGUGAGGUAAUGGCUCACCAAGACAACGAUGGGUAACCGGCCUGAGAGGGUGAACGGUCACAUUGGGACUGAGAUACGGCCCAG
rnacentral:rRNA from 1 species